rnacentral:rRNA from 1 species
ACUCCUACGGGAGGCAGCAGUGGGGAAUUUUGGACAAUGGGGGCAACCCUGAUCCAGCAAUGCCGCGUGAGUGAAGAAGGCCUUCGGGUUGUAAAGCUCUUUUGUCAGGGAAGAAACGGUGGUGGCGAAUAACUACUACUAAUGACGGUACCUGAAGAAUAAGCACCGGCUAACUACGUGCCAGCAGCCGCGGUAAUACGUAGGGUGCAAGCGUUAAUCGGAAUUACUGGGCGUAAAGCGUGCGCAGGCGGUUGUGUAAGUCAGAUGUGAAAUCCCCGGGCUCAACCUGGGAAUUGCAUUUGAGACUGCACGGCUAGAGUGUGUCAGAGGGGGGUAGAAUUCCACGUGGAGCAGUGAAAUGCGUAGAUAUGUGGAGGAAUACCGAUGGCGAAGGCAGCCCCCUGGGAUAACACUGACGCUCAUGCACGAAAGCGUGGGGAGCAAACAGGAUUAGAUACCCUGGUAGUCCC